rnacentral:rRNA from 1 species
CACGUAGUUAGCCGUGGCUUUCUAGUAAGGUACCGUCAAGGUGCAGCCAGUUACUACUGCACUUGUUCUUCCCUUACAACAGAGCUUUACGAUCCGAAGACCUUCUUCGCUCACGCGGCGUUGCUCCAUCAGGCUUUCGCCCAUUGUGGAAGAUUCCCUACUGCUGCCUCCCGUAGGAGUCUGGGCCGUGUCUCAAUCCCAGUGUGGCCGAUCACCCUCUCAGGUCGGCUACGCAUCGUCGCCUUGGUAGGCCGUUACCCCACCAACAAGCUAAUGCGCCGCGGGCCCAUCCUAUAGUGAUAGCAGAACCAUCUUUCAACACCAAAGCAUGCACUCUGAUGUGUUAUCCGGUAUUAGCACGCGUUUCCGCGAGUUAUCCCAGUCUAUAGGGCAGAUUACCCACGUGUUACUCACCCGUCCGCCGCUAACCUCAUGAAAGCUAGGCUUUCAAUUGGUUCGCUCGACUUGCAUGUAUUAGGCACGCCGCCAGCGUC